rnacentral:rRNA from 1 species
GCUUAACACAUGCAAGUCGAGGGGCAUCAGGAAGAAAGCUUGCUUUCUUUGCUGGCGACCGGCGCACGGGUGAGUAACACGUAUCCAACCUGCCCUUUACUCGGGGAUAGCCUUUCGAAAGAAAGAUUAAUACCCGAUAGCAUAAUGAUUCCGCAUGGUUUCAUUAUUAAAGGAUUCCGGUAAAGGAUGGGGAUGCGUUCCAUUAGGUUGUUGGUGAGGUAACGGCCCACCAAGCCUUCGAUGGAUAGGGGUUCUGAGAGGAAGGUCCCCCACAUUGGAACUGAGACACGGUCCAAACUCCUACGGGAGGCAGCAGUGAGGAAUAUUGGUCAAUGGGCGCUAGCCUGAACCAGCCAAGUAGCGUGAAGGAUGAAGGCUCUAUGGGUCGUAAACUUCUUUUAUAUAAGAAUAAAGUGCAGUAUGUAUACUGUUUUGUAUGUAUUAUAUGAAUAAGGAUCGGCUAACUCCGUGCCAGCAGCCGCGGUAAUACGGAGGAUCCGAGCGUUAUCCGGAUUUAUUGGGUUUAAAGGGAGCGUAGGUGGACUGGUAAGUCAGUUGUGAAAGUUUGCGGCUCAACCGUAAAAUUGCAGUUGAUACUGUCAGUCUUGAGUACAGUAGAGGUGGGCGGAAUUCGUGGUGUAGCGGUGAAAUGCUUAGAUAUCACGAAGAACUCCGAUUGCGAAGGCAGCUCACUGGACUGCAACUGACACUGAUGCUCGAAAGUGUGGGUAUCAAACAGGAUUAGAUACCCUGGUAGUCCACACAGUAAACGAUGAAUACUCGCUGUUUGCGAUAUACAGUAAGCGGCCAAGCGAAAGCAUUAAGUAUUCCACCUGGGGAGUACGCCGGCAACGGUGAAACUCAAAGGAAUUGACGGGGGCCCGCACAAGCGGAGGAACAUGUGGUUUAAUUCGAUGAUACGCGAGGAACCUUACCCGGGCUUAAAUUGCAGUGGAAUGAUGUGGAAACAUGUCAGUGAGCAAUCACCGCUGUGAAGGUGCUGCAUGGUUGUCGUCAGCUCGUGCCGUGAGGUGUCGGCUUAAGUGCCAUAACGAGCGCAACCCUUAUCUUUAGCUACUAACAGGUUAUGCUGAGGACUCUAGAGAGACUGCCGUCGUAAGAUGUGAGGAAGGUGGGGAUGACGUCAAAUCAGCACGGCCCUUACGUCCGGGGCUACACACGUGUUACAAUGGGGGGUACAGGAGGCAGCUAGCGGGUGACCGUAUGCUAAUCCCAAAAUCCUCUCUCAGUUCGGAUCGAAGUCUGCAACCCGACUUCGUGAAGCUGGAUUCGCUAGUAAUCGCGCAUCAGCCACGGCGCGGUGAAUACGUUCCCGGGCCUUGUACACACCGCCCGUCAAGCCAUGGGAGCCGGGGGUACCUGAAGUACGUAACCGCAAGGAUCGUCCUAGGGUAAAACUGGUGACUGGGGCUAAG